GAGGGGUGGCACUCGGUCUAGAAUUUGACAGAUUACCGCAAAUCUGUCCUUCUAGCCCGAAGUGUCAGAAAAUAAUCCUA
rnacentral:pre_miRNA from 1 species